UUUGAUUGUAGAUUGAACCACAUUAUAAUAUAAUUUAUACGUACACAAUCAAAUUAAUAUACCCACACACUAAAAUAUACAUUUUAGCAUCAAUUAACAUAAGAUAACGUAGAUCGAAAAUUAUAAUACAAUUAGACAAAUUAAAAUGGAUGGAACAAUGUAAUAUUACUCUAGCCUUUCACCAUUUGUGAUGAAAAGUAAGAAAACUAACUCCACUUAAAAUAAGUAUUUUUUUAAUUAAUCUUAGAAUAUCUCGAAUAUAUAGAAAGAUUCAGACUAAUCAUAAAGAAGAAGUGCAAUCCAGAGAUGAACUCUCUUGUCUCUCAGAAUAUACAAAUGAAAAUAUUAGAUACAUAUAUGAAUGACCACAUGUAAAAUUUAAUAACUUUUUAUUAAAAGGGAAAUCAAUCCUUAACCUAAACUAACAUGACAACUUUUUAUCUAGUGGAAAUCAUUAAACCACCAUAAUGUGGCUGUAAA
rnacentral:lncRNA from 1 species